CGUACGCCUCCAUCCAGCUUAGCGGCGCCCGAGUCACAGACCAGUCACAUGCCGCCGCGGCUCCUGCUCAACAAUGUCUCCUGCAUGCGGAACGCACAGAAGGUGCUCUGUGACAUCAACCUCAGCGUCCACGACGGCACAGCCCUCGUCCUUACCGGCGCCAACGGCUCCGGAAAGACCACCCUCCUCCGCAUGCUGGCGGGCUUUCGCGCCCCUCGGCGGGGGAGAUCCUCUGGAACGGACACGACAUCACCUCCCCCGACGUCUUCCAGCAGUACAAGCUGCAGCUCAACUGGAUGUCGCUCAAGGACGCCGUGAAAGAGAAGCUCACAGUGCUCGAGAACGUCCAGUGGUUCGAGCUCCUCGAGGGGAAGGACGGCAGCAGGUCGGGCCCGGCCAUCUAGCUCAUGGAGCUCGGCAGGCUCAUGAACGAGAAGGCCAGGAGGAUGUUGUCCAUGGGGCAGAGGAAGCGGCUGCAGCUCGCCAGGCUGCUCGCCAUCGAUCGACCCAUCUGGCUGCUGGACGAGCCCUCCGUCGCGCUGGACGCAGAGGGUACCAGGCUGCUUAAACACAUCAUCGCGGAGCACCGGGAGAAGGGUGGCAUCGUGUUCGUGGCCACGCAUCUGCCGAUUCAGGUUGAGGAUUCUAUGUCGCUUCGGCUUCCCCAGAGGUUUCCUCGGAGGAAGACGCUGGUUGAUCUUGUCCAUUGAUGGCUUGACGCCAAUGUGACCAGGAAUUUAGUUGUAUCUCUCUAAUUCCUCUCCAGCUAUCUGUCUGAAUGCUGUCAGAGCAAUAUUUUUUUUUGCUGGUGCUGCAUUUGUCAUCCUUUUUUGACAGCAUGACAAUACAUUAUCUAUGUUGAUAAUAUGUGCAGUUGUUCUUUGUGAUCACUGUUUUGAUGCAUUUGCCCAUGUAUUUGGGAACAAUAGAAGGCAUUUGUCAUGUCUGAUAUAUGUACAGCUGUUCUUUGCGAUCAUGGUGUUGAUGCAUUGACCCCCUUAUAUAUAUGGUACUUGCUGGUGGAAACUCUGUUGGCUGUUCAAUGUUUAGCAGGUUUAUUCACGCCUUGCAUGUCUGUGUGAAGCUUCAAGUGUUGGAUACUCGGCAAACUUGACCAAAUAUGGGGAGACCUUUGGACAGGAUCAGGUAUAGAUGUCUGAUUUGAGUGUCUCUUUUCUCAUAUUCUUGUGAAUUGACUAAGGUUGAUUUCUUCCAUAACAAAUUUUGUUUUAGUCUGAAUAUGUUAUUGUUGUCAUCUGAAUAUAUUCAGAAGUGGCUGAUUUUGCAUUUGUAGCAUGUGCAGUGUUUAAUUCACAAACAAUGUUUUUUACUACAUACAAUAACUACUAACAAAUUAGUUUAGGCCAUGUCGACAAAAUUUGGUGCCCAGUUGCUGUAAAGCCCAAAAUUGGUAGAAGGAUAAUAAUAAAAAAAAUAAACAAAUAUAUUUAUUAUAGUGGUUUGGAAAUUCUUGAAACCUUGGAUUAAAUAAUAAUAAUAAUAAUAGAAUUUUAAAU